GGGGUCGACGGUUCCGGAAUCCCGUUGCGGACUUAAAAUCCGCGGAAGGGCAACCUUCGUGUGGGUUCGACUCCCACCGGGCCCA
rnacentral:tRNA from 1 species